rnacentral:rRNA from 1 species
GUGGGGAAUAUUGGACAAUGGGCGGAAGCCUGAUCCAGCCAUGCCGCGUGUGUGAAGAAGGCCUUUUGGUUGUAAAGCACUUUAAGCGAGGAGGAGGCUACUAGUACUAAUACUACUGGAUAGUGGACGUUACUCGCAGAAUAAGCACCGGCUAACUCUGUGCCAGCAGCCGCGGUAAUACAGAGGGUGCGAGCGUUAAUCGGAUUUACUGGGCGUAAAGCGUGCGUAGGCGGCUGAUUAAGUCGGAUGUGAAAUCCCUGAGCUUAACUUAGGAAUUGCAUUCGAUACUGGUCAGCUAGAGUAUGGGAGAGGAUGGUAGAAUUCCAGGUGUAGCGGUGAAAUGCGUAGAGAUCUGGAGGAAUACCGAUGGCGAAGGCAGCCAUCUGGCCUAAUACUGACGCUGAGGUACGAAAGCAUGGGGAGCAAACAGG